UACGUAGGGUGCAAGCGUUGUCCGGAAUUAUUGGGCGUAAAGAGCUCGUAGGCGGUCUGUCGCGUCUGCUGUGAAAACUCAGGGCUUAACCCUGAGCUUGCAGUGGGUACGGGCAGACUAGAGUGCGGUAGGGGAGACUGGAAUUCCUGGUGUAGCGGUGGAAUGCGCAGAUAUCAGGAGGGAACACCGGUGGCGAAGGCGGGUCUCUGGGCCUUACCUGACGCUGGAGGCGCGAAAGCUAGGGGAGCGAACAGG
rnacentral:rRNA from 1 species